UCCUUGGUAUCCCAACCUGCAAUAUUGGAACCAGCUCAUCAAUAUUCAACUGCCUGAAUCAGGUGUUCAUUGAUAGAGAUAUUCCUUGGGCCAACUGCAUUGGAUUCUCAUCUGACAACUGCAAUGUGAUGAUAGGCAAGAACAACAGUGUCCUGACCCGUAUUCAGCAGAUGUCACCAAGUGUGUUCAACGUAGGGUGUGUUUGCCACUUAGCCAACCUCUGUGCACAGAAGGCCAUCAAGACCCUGCCAUUGCCAGUUGAUGACUUCUUGGUGGACAUCUACUACCACUUUCAUCAUAGUUCCACCAGAAGAGAGAAUUACAAG